AGCCCUAUAGUGUAAUCGGUAACACAGCGGAUUCUGGUUCCGUAUUUUGGGGUUCAAGUCCUCAUAGGGCUACCA
rnacentral:tRNA from 1 species